rnacentral:rRNA from 1 species
AUGGCGCGUCAGUUCGACUGUGAAGCAUCCUGUUAAGUCAGGCAACGAGCGAGACCCACGCCAACAGUUGCCAGCAUGUCCUCCGGGAUGAUGGGGACACUGUUGGGACCGCCUCUGCUAAAGAGGAGGAAGGAAUGGGCAACGGUAGGUCAGCAUGCCCCGAAUUAUCCGGGCUACACGCGGGCUACAAUGGUCAGGACAAUGGGUAUCGACACCGAGAGGUGGAGGCAAUCUCCUAAACCUGUCCUUAGUUCGGAUUGUGGGCUGCAACUCGCCCACAUGAAGCUGGAAUCCGUAGUAAUCGCGUUUCAAAUAGCGCGGUGAAUAUGUCCCUGCUCCUU